UAAACAGAAACAGAUUCCCUUUCUUGUCACCUCUCCUUUGCUUGCUCAUCACCUUUGUGAACAGUAAAUUGAAGUCUUGACCUCCAUUAACAACAUCAUCAAUAUACUUCUAAUAAUUGUCAUAAAUGGACUGAAUUAUGCAAUCCUUACGGAGAAAAAGAAGUGUAGAACAACUUCAAUUGGUAGUAACAAAUGUAGUUUUAGUUCCUAUGAUGUAUUGGGUUUGGUAUAUGACAAGUGUUGCUACGAUUAGGGGCGUUCAACUGAUCCAAAGUAAAAGAGAUAGAAAAAUAUUGCGCUUAAAAAUUAUGCAUCGCUUAAUACAAGAAAGUGAUGUUCAUUGCAAAAGUGAACUUCGGGUUAAUAGAAAUAUUAUUUGUGUGAUGCUUACGGAGAUUGGAGGUCUCACUCAGAGAAAAAAAUAUGUCUUUUGAAAAGAUAGUUGCCAUGCUUUUGUACACUUAAUUGCACACUUUUUCAUAAGAAGUGGAGAAAUUGUGAGUUGUCAAUUCAACUUGUGUUUAAGGGGUAUACUUAAGUUGCAUGAUCAUUUGCUUUACAAGCUCACACCAAUAUUAGAAGAAUGUGAAGAUGAAAGGUGGAAACCCUUUAAGAAUUGUUUAGGAGCCUUGAAUGGUACCUACAUUAAUGUAAAGGUGCAUUCCCAAGAACGUGGAAAAUACCGGACAAGAAAAGGUAGCAUUACUAUGAAUGUGUUGGGUGUUUGUGCACCCAACAUGCAAUUUAUAUAUGUUCUUCCGGGUUGGGAAGGCUCUGCACAUGAUGUCCGUGUCCUUCGCAAUGCUCUUUCUAGGCCACAUGGCUUUAGAGUUCCUAGAGGUUAUUAUUAUUUGGUUGAUGGGGGGUAUACAAAUUGUGAGGGUUUUCUUGCUCCGUAUAGAGGGCAACGAUAUCAUCUUAAGGAAUGGACAAAUGAACAACCGCAAACUACUGAAGAGUAUUACAAUAUCAAACAUGCUCGAGCAAGAAAUGUAAUUGAGAGGUGUUUUGGGCUACUUAAAGGAAGAUGGAGUAUACUUAGAAGCCCCUCAUUUUUCACUAUUUGAACUCAAGUUCGUAUCGUGAUGGCUUGUUGUUUACUUCACAAUUUAAUUAGGAAAGUAAUGCCCACAGAUGAUAUAGAGAAAGAGGAUUUGAGUGAUAAUGAUUCGGAUGACGAUUUCGAUGAUGAAGUUGAGUACAUUACUACAAUUGCAACUUCUGAUCAAUGGACUACUUAUAGAAAUACGUUAGCUCAAGAUUUAUUUAAUGCUUGGAGGGCAAGAGUUAGACAAGGUACUUAAGAUGGAGGUGAAUACUAUUAGCCAAGAGGGAAGUAGUAGAGGGAGGGGAAAGAAUAAGCGCUUUUGAACGUGUCAAGAAGAUUCGAUGCUGAAAAAUAUUUAUACCAAUUGUCUAUUGAUCCUAAGUGGAAAGGUGAUGAUGGUUUUAAAAAGUGGUUUCAUGAGUAGGUUGGAAGAGUUGAUUAACAGUGAGCUUCCUAGUUGUGGUUUGAAGGCUUUUUUGCAUAUCGAUUCAAGAAUCAAACAUUGGUCAGAGAAAUAUAGCGCACUAGCUAAGAUGCUAUCUACUUCGGGUUUUGGGUAGGAUGCCGACAAGAAGAUGUUGCAAGUAGAGAGAGCGGUGUUUGAUGAAUGGGCGAAGGUUCAUAAGAACGCUAAAAGAUUGUAUGGAGUACCUUUUCGUUACCAUGACAUUCUAAAGGAGAUUUAAGCUAAAGAUAAGGCCACGGGUGAUUAGAGCGAGUCUUUUGUGGGAGCAAUCAACAAUAUAGAUAUUGAAGUUGUAAAGAAGCCAAUUUUCGUAGAUAGUGAUGAGGAAGAUGAUGCGGAUUCAAGAAGUCAGACAACUACUCACUCUAUACAAUCUAAGAAGUGUUUGAUCAAACAAGAGCACGAUAACUCAACAUCUUCAAAAAAAACCCAAGCUCAAGGAAUUAAAGGGUAAGAUAACUCUUCAAAGUGAUGUUGAUAAAUUGGAUUUUUCUCUCCAUAAUGCUACAAGUAAUUUCGGCAAAAUUUUUGAUAAUAUUAAUGCUAAUCUUGGCACGAUAGCUAGAGUGUGGGCCAAAGCCGAGGAGAGAGAGCAGAAGAUGGAUGAAAAAAGUAAAUAAAGUUUUGGAAGAGGUAAUGAAAUUAGAUGGUGUCUCACCCUCUGAAGCUUUAGAAGUAGUUACAAUUCUCAUUGCCGAAGAACACAAGCUCCGAAUCUUUUUUCAAGCUCAUUCAAACCUCAAGAAACAAUAUGUGUUUGAUCUUCUCAAAAAAAAGUGAAAAAUGGUCUUAUAAAAAUACAUGAGCAGAACAGUUGUCAUUAAUGGUUGUGCUUGUAGUUAGGAUGCUUAUUUCCUAGUUUAUACACUUUUGAAUUCCGAAAAUGAAAAGUACUUGUUAUAACAUAACAAAUUAUUAGUUGAAGUGUUGUAGUUCUGUUUGAUUU